rnacentral:tRNA from 5 species
GUUGAGUUUACGGGGUCAAAAUGAACACCGUUCAACGCCCCAUGUAAACGGACUGAAAAUCCGUGUGUCGGGGGUUCGAUUCCCUCCCUAGCCA